GAUGCAGGAUCAAUAUUUACAGUCGGAUUAAAGGGUGUGCUAUUGUUAAGUGAACUCGACUCUCUGGAUUUUCCGUCAGACACAUCAGGAUCCACUAAACCAAAAGCUUCAUUGAUUAUAUCCGAAUUUUCCUGCAUACUUUCUGCUACAGGAUCCACUGCCAGCAGUUCGUUAGGGAUCUGAAAUUCUUCUUCCAAUGGUACAUC